CGAGCUCCAUGCAAGUCGAGCGGUAGCACAGAGAGCUUGCUCUCGGGUGACGAGCGGCGGACGGGUGAGUAAUGUCUGGGAAACUGCCUGAUGGAGGGGGAUAACUACUGGAAACGGUAGCUAAUACCGCAUAACGUCGCAAGACCAAAGUGGGGGACCUUCGGGCCUCAUGCCAUCAGAUGUGCCCAGAUGGGAUUAGCUGGUAGGUGGGGUAACGGCUCACCUAGGCGACGAUCCCUAGCUGGUCUGAGAGGAUGACCAGCCACACUGGAACUGAGACACGGUCCAGACUCCUACGGGAGGCAGCAGUGGGGAAUAUUGCACAAUGGGCGCAAGCCUGAUGCAGCCAUGCCGCGUGUGUGAAGAAGGCCUUCGGGUUGUAAAGCACUUUCAGCGGGGAGGAAGGCGGUGAGGUUAAUAACCUUGUCGAUUGACGUUACCCGCAGAAGAAGCACCGGCUAACUCCGUGCCAGCAGCCGCGGUAAUACGGAGGGUGCAAGCGUUAAUCGGAAUUACUGGGCGUAAAGCGCACGCAGGCGGUCUGUCAAGUCGGAUGUGAAAUCCCCGGGCUCAACCUGGGAACUGCAUUCGAAACUGGCAGGCUAGAGUCUUGUAGAGGGGGGUAGAAUUCCAGGUGUAGCGGUGAAAUGCGUAGAGAUCUGGAGGAAUACCGGUGGCGAAGGCGGCCCCCUGGACAAAGACUGACGCUCAGGUGCGAAAGCGUGGGGAGCAAACAGGAUUAGAUACCCUGGUAGUCCACGCUGUAAACGAUGUCGAUUUGGAGGUUGUGCCCUUGAGGCGUGGCUUCCGGAGCUAACGCGUUAAAUCGACCGCCUGGGGAGUACGGCCGCAAGGUUAAAACUCAAAUGAAUUGACGGGGGCCCGCACAAGCGGUGGAGCAUGUGGUUUAAUUCGAUGCAACGCGAAGAACCUUACCUGGUCUUGACAUCCACAGAACUUUCCAGAGAUGGAUUGGUGCCUUCGGGAACUGUGAGACAGGUGCUGCAUGGCUGUCGUCAGCUCGUGUUGUGAAAUGUUGGGUUAAGUCCCGCAACGAGCGCAACCCUUAUCCUUUGUUGCCAGCGGUUAGGCCGGGAACUCAAAGGAGACUGCCAGUGAUAAACUGGAGGAAGGUGGGGAUGACGUCAAGUCAUCAUGGCCCUUACGACCAGGGCUACACACGUGCUACAAUGGCAUAUACAAAGAGAAGCGACCUCGCGAGAGCAAGCGGACCUCAUAAAGUAUGUCGUAGUCCGGAUUGGAGUCUGCAACUCGACUCCAUGAAGUCGGAAUCGCUAGUAAUCGUAGAUCAGAAUGCUACGGUGAAUACGUUCCCGGGCCUUGUACACACCGCCCGUCACACCAUGGGAGUGGGUUGCAAAAGAAGUAGGUAGCUUAACCUUCGGAGGCGCGGU
rnacentral:rRNA from 1 species